rfam:Ailuropoda melanoleuca scaffold1832_31, whole genome shotgun sequence.
GUCUACGGCCAUACCACCCUGAACGCUCCCAAUCCCGUCUGAUCUCGGAAGCUAAGCAGGGUGGGGCCUGGUUAGUACUUGGAUGGGAGUUUUGACUAUUCUUGACC